AGAGUUUGAUCCUGGCUCAGGAUGAAUGCUGGCGGCGUGCUUAACACAUGCAAGUCGAACGGGAAAUAUUUCAUUGAGACUUCGGUGGAUUUGAUCUAUUUCUAGUGGCGGACGGGUGAGUAACGCGUGGGUAACCUGCCUUAUACAGGGGGAUAACAGUCAGAAAUGGCUGCUAAUACCGCAUAAGCGCACAGAGCUGCAUGGCUCAGUGUGAAAAACUCCGGUGGUAUAAGAUGGACCCGCGUUGGAUUAGCUUGUUGGUGGGGUAACGGCCCACCAAGGCGACGAUCCAUAGCCGGCCUGAGAGGGUGAACGGCCACAUUGGGACUGAGACACGGCCCAGACUCCUACGGGAGGCAGCAGUGGGGAAUAUUGCACAAUGGGGGAAACCCUGAUGCAGCGACGCCGCGUGAGCGAAGAAGUAUUUCGGUAUGUAAAGCUCUAUCAGCAGGGAAGAAGAAAUGACGGUACCUGACUAAGAAGCCCCGGCUAACUACGUGCCAGCAGCCGCGGUAAUACGUAGGGGGCAAGCGUUAUCCGGAUUUACUGGGUGUAAAGGGAGCGUAGACGGUGUGGCAAGUCUGAUGUGAAAGGCAUGGGCUCAACCUGUGGACUGCAUUGGAAACUGUCAUACUUGAGUGCCGGAGGGGUAAGCGGAAUUCCUAGUGUAGCGGUGAAAUGCGUAGAUAUUAGGAGGAACACCAGUGGCGAAGGCGGCUUACUGGACGGUAACUGACGUUGAGGCUCGAAAGCGUGGGGAGCAAACAAAAUUAGAUACCCUGGUAGUCCACGCCGUAAACG
rnacentral:rRNA from 1 species